CCCUUAGAUGUUCUGGGCCGCACGCGCGCUACACUGAUGCAUUCAACGAGCCUAGCCUUGACCGAGAGGUCCGGGUAAUCUUUGAAACUGCAUCGUGAUGGGGCUAGAUUAUUGCAAUUAUUAAUCUUCAACGAGGAAUGCCUAGUAAGCGUGAUUCAUCAAAUCGCGUUGAUUACGUCCCUGCCCUUUGUACACACCGCCCGUCGCUCCUACCGAUUGAGUGUGUUGGCGAGGAGUUUGGAUUGGCCUCGGAAGGUGGUUCGCCACCGUCCGUAGCUGAGAAGUUCUCCAAACCGCCCCACUUAGAGGAAGGAGAAGUCGUAACA
rnacentral:rRNA from 1 species